CCAAUUUGUAAGAAGUUUACCUACAGUGCACAAGUGUAGAUCGAUCAACUGUUGAAACUAGGAUUUACAAUUUCCUUUUUUUCAUAAACUACAUGAACGGAAUCUAUGAAAGGGGGAACAACACAAUGUAAGCUGAAAAUUAGGGGUUAAGAUUGGUACUAGUCAGUAGAAAUACUAGCCUCCCAUCCACAGAUGCCCUGAUAAACGCAGCAGAAUGGAUGAAGUCCU
rnacentral:lncRNA from 1 species